CAGUAGCCGCGGUAAUACAGAGGGUGCGAGCGUUAAUCGGAUUUACUGGGCGUAAAGCGUGCGUAGGCGGCUAAUUGAGUCGGAUGUGAAAUCCCCGAUCUUAACUUGGGAAUUGCAUUCGAUACUGGUUAGCUAGAGUGUGGGAGAGGAUGGUAGAAUUCCAGGUGUAGCGGUGAAAUGCGUAGAGAUCUGGAGGAAUACCGAUGGCGAAGGCAGCCAUCUGGCCUAACACUGACGCUGAGGUACGAAAGCAUGGGGAGCAAACAGGAUUAGAUACCCCCGUAGUCCCUGUCUCUUAUAA
rnacentral:rRNA from 1 species